rnacentral:lncRNA from 1 species
AAAUUUCUCUGGUUUCAGAAAUUAUAUUAACGGCUGAAGUAUUAUUACUGCCUUCAAAAUAUCUUAUAAUUUCUUAUCUUUGGCUGGAAAAGAUAAGUCGGAUGAAAAUGCUAUCGAUGUAAAAUGAUAGUAAAGACUAGUAAUAUAAAUAAUACGUUCCCGUGGUUGCGCCAAUGGCCCAUACCCGUACCACCAACCUUUCCUGUUCGAUACUGAAGCUGAGAGCUCGAUCGUUUCGUCCUUCCAACGCGCCACUUCAAUCGACAAAAAAACAUUUUCUAAUUUAUAGCGUACCUAAAGGCUGCUUAUUGGUUUUUGAUCGCUCAUUUAUGGAAAUGCCCGAUCUAAACAUGGAAAAUGGAUUUCUCUUGGACAGAUUUAUUGUUAAACUACUGAAAAUUCUUUUCGGAAUUGACCAGCCUUAUGGUCUAAACUAAUUACUGAGUUAUACGAAAAUUAGGUUGGGCCAUUAACAC